GGGCCAUUUCUUCCUGGAUUUCUUAUGAGUCAUAUAAGCAUAAAAUCAAUUGGCCCUGUAAAUCAGCAUGAAAUAAUCUGCCUUCAAGAAAACUAGCUGGAAGUAUUUAUGCAUUAAGGACACUGUCCUCCAAACCAUAAAACAUCAGUCAAGCCCCCUUGCACAGGAUCUGCUGAAAUACAAGAGAAUUCACUGCACAAGUUGUAGGGAAACCUUCUUGCUCAGCAGACAAGGAGUGCCUAGUGAUGCUAUAAAUCAACCUGACCUACACUAUCAGUCUACCUGCUGUUCUGUCACAUACCAUAGAUGAGGCUAGAACAGGGAUGAGACAGGAAACUUGCCUGUGGGGUACUGUUCAACCAAGGCUAUGAAUUUCUCUUCAAACCCUUUUGUGCACUACAGGAAACAAAACUGUGUCAAAGCAAACCUGAAGUCACUUUCCUAUCAUUACCCUCAUUCUUUAAUUUUAGCAUAUUCCCUGCUAUACUUUUAGUUCCUACCAAUUAUCACUCUCUCAAAAAACUCAGACACAAACUCCCAGUUAAUACAAAAAUAUAGAUGAGUUAAGGGUAAAAGAAUUUAGCUCUAUAGAUGUAGGUUUUGCCAUGUAAGUUAGCCUUUGGGAUGAAAUAUUCCCUGUCAUUUGGAUGCUUGCCCAAAUUGUAUUCGUUUCACAAAAAAAAAAAAAAAAAAAUUCCUAUUGAAAUUUCCCUAGCUUUCAUAAACAAGUUACAGCUCAGCUCACAAAAUAACAUAGAUACAAAAAGUCUUGGAAGCCGACGUAUCACCUCUCAACCAGACACCAAGUUGAAGACACCCUUGAGUUUCUUCCUGACUCCUUCCACCUUUGAGAAAGUGUUUUUAAUCUCUUGCAAGAGGAAGAGCUGUCCUGUCCAGACAAUUGUGCACACAACAGGCAAGCAGAUAAAAACCAAAGUGAUGGCAACAUCCAAAACUUACAUCAACAAAGUAGCAGGUUUCCCCUCCGAAAAGGUAUGUUGA
rnacentral:lncRNA from 1 species